UGGCCGAAAGUCCCGGGGAAACCAAGGGGGCGGGGCAGUCAGAAUGGCCAUCCGAGCGGAAGUGAGUCGCCAUAGUUACCGGCAGGCAGCCCUUCUUUUUCAAGUAGGGGAUCAAUGGCGUCGCGGGGCCGGCAGGGGCCCCAUGGCCGCCGCCCGAGUGCUACGGACCGUUCCCAGCGCGGUAGUCCUUCACAGAGCAGCCCAGUCGCUUGUCGCAACUUCCACAGAGAGCCCCUCUCAGGCUGCGCCCCAGCUCUUCCUCCUGGACAGAUGGCAGGCAUCCCAUCCCAACGCCCAGCUCUGGAAGACCCUUGAAAAGUGCCUCUUCUUCUAGGCUGCGCUCUGCUGUCUGCCGAAACCGCGCAUAGGCGGCGGUCAUCUGCAUUACCUGCAAGGCAGAGCUAAUGGUGCAAGGCGCAGCCAGUGCCCGGACAAGAGUCUUAGAAGAGCGAGCGGCUGCCUCUUUCUGCCAGCUCCAGAAAAGAGCUGGAAGUCCACUCAGUACGUUUUUGGGCCAGAGAAAAGCCUCCUGGCUCCCCUGUAGUUGCUGUUCUCCCAGUAUUUCUGCCAUUCCCCUUUUAACUCCGGCCUGACCCAACAAUCGACCUCGGACUGAGGCAAAGAAAAAUUCUCAAAGCAGCUUACAAAGAAAUAAUAAUACUAGGAAGAAGAUUGUUCCAUGUCUCCAAAGAGAGCUCCUCUUCGAAAAAGAAACAAGUCGCCAGAGAAACUUUAGCAACAGCCACUGCAAGAAUUCUGCCCUGGUACUGAAUAGGGACAGCUGCUCUUCCCCUGCUAAAUAUUAGAAAACCACCACUUUAAAAGGUGCCCCUGCUCAGUUAGCAUCAGGGGCUUACCUGUGAUGAUGAUCCCAAGAGACAUUCCUCCCCACUACCACCAUGCUGCAUCUCAGCCAUUCUCCAAAUUGCUGAGACACAAGCAAUGUAAUCUCUUCCCCAGAAGUGUGAAUAGCAAGGCUUUGGCAGAGCCUUCUGCCUUCUCCCAAUGGGCACCUCUGCUGUUCUGUCCCAUAACCAAGCCAAAACACAGGGCAAUGGUGGUGAGUAGCAGGAGCCAGGGAAAACCUCAGCUGUUCACACAGGAAGACUGGGGAUUGUGAAGAGCCCUUUGCCUGUGUCAUUUGGAAAUAGGUGGAGUCAAUAAAGCUGGCCCUGCAGCCCUUGCUCAGUUGAAAGUAUUAUUUCCUGUUAAACAUUAGUUGCUGAAGCAGCUUGUGUGUUUCGUCUUGCAUGUUGAACAAAAAGUUAUAUAAAAACCAUCAUAAUAAAAAAGUGAUUAAAAACA